GGUUAGGUAGAGAAUACCAAGGCGCUUGAGAGAACUCGGGUGAAGGAACUAGGCAAAAUGGCACCGUAACUUCGGGAGAAGGUGCGCCGGUGAGGGUGAAGCAUUUACUGCGUAAGCCCAUGCCGGUCGAAGAUACCAGGCCGCUGCGACUGUUUAUUAAAAACACAGCACUCUGCAAACACGAAAGUGGACGUAUAGGGUGUGACGCCUGCCCGGUGCCGGAAGGUUAAUUGAUGGGGUUAGCGCAAGCGAAGCUCUUGAUCGAAGCCCCGGUAAACGGCGGCCGUAACUAUAACGGUCCUAAGGUAGCGAAAUUCCUUGUCGGGUAAGUUCCGACCUGCACGAAUGGCGUAACGAUGGCGGCGCUGUCUCCACCCGAGACUCAGUGAAAUUGAAAUCGCUGUGAAGAUGCAGUGUAUCCGCGGCUAGACGGAAAGACCCCGUGAACCUUUACUAUAGCUUUGCACUGGACUUUGAGCUUGCUUGUGUAGGAUAGGUGGGAGGCUUUGAAGUGGGGACGCCAGUUCUCAUGGAGCCAACCUUGAAAUACCACCCUGGCAACCUUGAGGUUCUAACUCUGGUCCGUUAUCCGGAUCGAGGACAGUGUAUGGUGGGUAGUUUGACUGGGGCGGUCUCCUCCCAAAGAGUAACGGAGGAGUACGAAGGUGCGCUCAGACCGGUCGGAAAUCGGUCGUAGAGUAUAAAGGCAAAAGCGCGCUUGACUGCGAGACAGACACGUCGAGCAGGUACGAAAGUAGGUCUUAGUGAUCCGGUGGUUCUGUAUGGAAGGGCCAUCGCUCAACGGAUAAAAGGUACUCCGGGGAUAACAGGCUGAUACCGCCCAAGAGUUCAUAUCGACGGCGGUGUUUGGCACCUCGAUGUCGGCUCAUCACAUCCUGGGGCUGAAGCCGGUCCCAAGGGUAUGGCUGUUCGCCAUUUAAAGUGGUACGCGAGCUGGGUUUAGAACGUCGUGAGACAGUUCGGUCCCUAUCUGCCGUGGACGUUUGAGAUUUGAGAGGGGCUGACCUUAGUACGAGAGGACCGGGUUGGACGAACCUCUGGUGUUCCGGUUGUCACGCCAGUGGCAUUGCCGGGUAGCUAUGUUCGGAAAAGAUAACCGCUGAAAGCAUCUAAGCGGGAAACUUGCCUCAAGAUGAGAUCUCACUGGAGCCUUGAGCUCCCUAAAGGGCCGUCGAAGACUACGACGUUGAUAGGUUGGGUGUGUAAGCGCUGUGAGGCGUUGAGCUAACCAAUACUAAUUGCCCGUGAGGCUUGACCAUAUAACACCCAAACA
rnacentral:rRNA from 1 species